GACACUAUGGCCGAGUGGUUAAGGGUGAGUCUUUGUCCUUCAGUUCACCCGUCCUGACAAUCUCCUAAAAUAUACUAACCCUGUCUUAGCGACAGCCUGCUAAGCUGUUUCUUUCGAGAGCGCAGGUUCGAAUCCUGCUGGUGUCG